AUUGAACGCUGGCGGCAUGCCUUACACAUGCAAGUCGAACGGUAACGCGGGGCAACCUGGCGACGAGUGGCGAACGGGUGAGUAAUGCAUCGGAACGUGCCCAGUAGUGGGGGAUAGCCCGGCGAAAGCCGGAUUAAUACCGCAUACGACCUACGGGUGAAAGGGGGGGAUCGCAAGACCUCUCGCUAUUGGAGCGGCCGAUGUCAGAUUAGGUAGUUGGUGGGGUAAAGGCCUACCAAGCCGACGAUCUGUAGCUGGUCUGAGAGGACGACCAGCCACACUGGGACUGAGACACGGCCCAGACUCCUACGGGAGGCAGCAGUGGGGAAUGUUGGACAAUGGGCGCAAGCCUGAUCCAGCCAUGCCGCGUGCGGGAAGAAGGCCUUCGGGUUGUAGACCGCUUUUGUCAGGGAAGAAAUCUUCUGGGUUAAUACCUCGGGAGGAUGACGGUACCUGAAGAAUAAGCACCGGCUAACUACGUGCCAGCCGCCGCGGUAAAAC
rnacentral:rRNA from 1 species